rnacentral:rRNA from 1 species
GAUGAACGCUGGCGGCGUGCCUAAUACAUGCAAGUCGAACGCUUCACUUCGGUGAAGAGUGGCGAACGGGUGAGUAAUACAUAAGUAACCUGGCAUCUACAGGGGGAUAACUGAUGGAAACGUCAGCUAAGACCGCAUAGGUGUAGAGAUCGCAUGAACUCUAUAUGAAAAGUGCUACGGGACUGGUAGAUGAUGGACUUAUGGCGCAUUAGCUUGUUGGUAGGGUAACGGCCUACCAAGGCGACGAUGCGUAGCCGACCUGAGAGGGUGACCGGCCACACUGGGACUGAGACACGGCCCAGACUCCUACGGGAGGCAGCAGUAGGGAAUUUUCGGCAAUGGGGGAAACCCUGACCGAGCAACGCCGCGUGAAGGAAGAAGUAAUGCGUUAUGUAAACUUCUGUCAUAGAGGAAGAACGGUGGAUAUAGGGAAUGAUAUCCAAGUGACGGUACUCUAUAAGAAAGCCACGGCUAACUACGUG